rnacentral:rRNA from 1 species
UCAUAGAAUUUCUUAAAAUUCAUGAUGUCGUAAGGGAAAAUAAUGAUAUUACCUUACUAUAAGUGUCGUCCAAAGCUGGUGCCAGAAGACUCGGUAAGACCAGAGACGCAAACGUUAAUCAUCCUAAACAGGCGUAAAGGGUUUGUAGGCAGCUUUCAUAGGAUUAUGAUUGCAAAAAUUAAUAAAUGAUCUAAUUGAAAGCUAGAAUCAAACAGAGGUUAUAGUGUAUAACGCCUAGAGGAGGGCUGAUAUCCUUAGAUCCUAGGCAGAAUACUCAGGGCGAAGGCCACUCUCCACUAAUGAUUGACGCUGAGAAACGAAGGUUAGGGUAGGAAAUAGGAUUAGAUACCCCGGUACUCCUUUCUGUAAACGAUGAAUGGUAGUCAUUAGUAAAAAUUACUAGAGACGAAGUUAACACAAUAACCAUUCCGCCUUGUGAGUACUACUGCAAAGUAGAAAACAAAAAAAUUAGUCGGUCUCGAAGCAAACGGAGUGAAGCAUGUUAUUUA